GAUGAACGCUGGCGGCGUGCCUAAUACAUGCAAGUCGAGCGAACAGACGAGGAGCUUGCUCCUCUGACGUUAGCGGCGGACGGGUGAGUAACACGUGGAUAACCUACCUAUAAGACUGGGAUAACUUCGGGAAACCGGAGCUAAUACCGGAUAAUAUAUUGAACCGCAUGGUUCAAUAGUGAAAGACGGUUUUGCUGUCACUUAUAGAUGGAUCCGCGCCGCAUUAGCUGGUUGGUAAGGUAACGGCUUACCAAGGCAACGAUGCGUAGCCGACCUGAGAGGGUGAACGGCCACACUGGAACUGAGACACGGUCCAGACUCCUACGGGAGGCAGCAGUAGGGAAUCUUCCGCAAUGGGCGAAAGCCUGACGGAGCAACGCCGCGUGAGUGAUGAAGGUCUUCGGAUCGUAAAACUCUGUUAUUAGGGAAGAACAAAUGUGUAAGUAACUAUGCACGUCUUGACGGUACCUAAUCAGAAAGCCACGGCUAACUACGUG
rnacentral:rRNA from 1 species